rnacentral:rRNA from 1 species
GGGUUUGCGGGUGCUAUACAUGCAGUCGAGCGGACAGAUGGGAGCUUGCUCCCUGAUGUUAGCGGCGGACGGGUGAGUAACACGUGGGUAACCUGCCUGUAAGACUGGGAUAACUCCGGGAAACCGGGGCUAAUACCGGAUGGUUGUUUGAACCGCAUGGUUCAGACAUAAAAGGUGGCUUCGGCUACCACUUACAGAUGGACCCGCGGCGCAUUAGCUAGUUGGUGAGGUAACGGCUCACCAAGGCGACGAUGCGUAGCCGACCUGAGAGGGUGAUCGGCCACACUGGGACUGAGACACGGCCCAGACUCCUACGGGAGGCAGCAGUAGGGAAUCUUCCGCAAUGGACGAAAGUCUGACGGAGCAACGCCGCGUGAGUGAUGAAGGUUUUCGGAUCGUAAAGCUCUGUUGUUAGGGAAGAACAAGUGCCGUUCAAAUAGGGCGGCACCUUGACGGUACCUAACCAGAAAGCCACGGCUAACUACGUGCCAGCAGCCGCGGUAAUACGUAGGUGGCAAGCGUUGUCCGGAAUUAUUGGGCGUAAAGGGCUCGCAGGCGGUUUCUUAAGUCUGAUGUGAAAGCCCCCGGCUCAACCGGGGAGGGUCAUUGGAAACUGGGGAACUUGAGUGCAGAAGAGGAGAGUGGAAUUCCACGUGUAGCGGUGAAAUGCGUAGAGAUGUGGAGGAACACCAGUGGCGAAGGCGACUCUCUGGUCUGUAACUGACGCUGAGGAGCGAAAGCGUGGGGAGCGAACAGGAUUAGAUACCCUGGUAGUCCACGCCGUAAACGAUGAGUGCUAAGUGUUAGGGGGUUUCCGCCCCUUAGUGCUGCAGCUAACGCAUUAAGCACUCCGCCUGGGGAGUACGGUCGCAAGACUGAAACUCAAAGGAAUUGACCGGGGGCCCGCACAAGCGGUGGAGCAUGUGGUUUAUUCGAAGCAACGCGAAGAACCUUACCAGGUCUUGACAUCCUCUGACAAUCCUAGAGAUAGGACGUCCCCUUCGGGGGCAGAGUGACAGGUGGUGCAUGGUUGUAGUCAGCUCGUGUCGUGAGAUGUUGGGUUAAGUCCCGCAACGAGCGCAACCCUUGAUCUUAGUUGCCAGCAUUCAGUUGGGCACUCUAAGGUGACUGCCGGUGACAAACCGGAGGAAGGUGGGGAUGACGUCAAAUCAUCAUGCCCCUUAUGACCUGGGCUACACACGUGCUACAAUGGACAGAACAAAGGGCAGCGAAACCGCGAGGUUAAGCCAAUCCCACAAAUCUGUUCUCAGUUCGGAUCGCAGUCUGCAACUCGACUGCGUGAAGCUGGAAUCGCUAGUAAUCGCGGAUCAGCAUGCCGCGGUGAAUACGUUCCCGGGCCUUGUACACACCGCCCGUCACACCACGGAUUGGGGUGAAGUCGUAACAAGGUUAACCGUAA